AUACGGAAGGUCCGGGCGUUAUCCGGAUUUAUUGGGUUUAAAGGGAGCGCAGGCGGAGAUGCAAGCGUGACGUCAAAUUUCGGGGCUCAACCCCGUCUCGCGUCGCGAACUGCGUCCCUUGGUUGCGGGAAGGGGAGGCGGAACUCGUGGUGUAGCGGUGAAAUGCAUAGAUAUCACGAAGAACUCCGAUCGCGAAGGCAGCCUUCCGGCCCGUCAACGACGCUCAUGCACGAAGGUGCGGGGAUCGAACAGGAUUAGAUACCCUGGUAGUCCGCACAGUAAACGAUGAAUACUUGUUUUCGGCGAUAUAAUGUCGGAGGCAAAGCGAAAGCGAUAAGUACUCCACCUGGGGAGUACGCCGGCAACGGUGAAACUCAAAUGAAUUGACGGGG
rnacentral:rRNA from 1 species